GCGCUCACUUUGGCAGCACAUAUACUAAAAUUGAAACGAUACAGAGAAGAUUAGCAUGGCCCCUGUGCAAGAAAUAGAGUAAAUGUUGGUCAUGGUAAGGGCAAUGUU